UAGAGUUUGAAANCAUGGCUCAGGACGAACGCUGGCGGCGUGCCUAAUACAUGCAAGUCGAACGAACUCUGGUAUUGAUUGGUGCUUGCAUCAUGAUUUACAUUUGAGUGAGUGGCGAACUGGUGAGUAACACGUGGGAAACCUGCCCAGAAGCGGGGGAUAACACCUGGAAACAGAUGCUAAUACCGCAUAACAACUUGGACCGCAUGGUCCGAGUUUGAAAGAUGGCUUCGGCUAUCACUUUUGGAUGGUCCCGCGGCGUAUUAGCUAGAUGGUGGGGUAACGGCUCACCAUGGCAAUGAUACGUAGCCGACCUGAGAGGGUAAUCGGCCACAUUGGGACUGAGACACGGCCCAAACUCCUACGGGAGGCAGCAGUAGGGAAUCUUCCACAAUGGACGAAAGUCUGAUGGAGCAACGCCGCGUGAGUGAAGAAGGGUUUCGGCUCGUAAAACUCUGUUGUUAAAGAAGAACAUAUCUGAGAGUAACUGUUCAGGUAUUGACGGUAUUUAACCAGAAAGCCACGGCUAACUACGUGCCAGCAGCCGCGGUAAUACGUAGGUGGCAAGCGUUGUCCGGAUUUAUUGGGCGUAAAGCGAGCGCAGGCGGUUUUUUAAGUCUGAUGUGAAAGCCUUCGGCUCAACCGAAGAAGUGCAUCGGAAACUGGGAAACUUGAGUGCAGAAGAGGACAGUGGAACUCCAUGUGUAGCGGUGAAAUGCGUAGAUAUAUGGAAGAACACCAGUGGCGAAGGCGGCUGUCUGGUCUGUAACUGACGCUGNG
rnacentral:rRNA from 2 species